GAUUACAUCUGGAAGGACCAGCCUGGUGUCUCCAGCUGUGACCUCCAGCGCCAGGAUGCCAUCCCCGACGCCGCAGCCAGCUGGGAAGGCAGCACCACUGCUCACAUCUGUGUCUACACGCUUCACCUCAGCGGCUUCCAGGAGCUCUACAGGCACUUCCUCAGGCUGCCUGAUGGGGCUAUCAUUGAGGCAUUUGGUGAUGUUAGUGAGGAAAGUCUUCUGUGUAAAGUGAGCACAGACCAGGAGCAUAUAAGGGAAAAGAACAGUGUGUUGCCUACAUCUACAUGUAUCAAGCUGAGAGAGAGGAAAAAGAGUACAGCAAGGUGGAAAGGAAAUCAUGUUGUCUCUGACAAGAGCUAGUUCCUGCAGCACUACAUGGUCCAUGGAGUUGUGUACAUCGUGAUCCACAUCCAUGGUAUUGCCUACUGUCUGAUAGGACCUACAUUUCUGAUGGCCACAUCUCUGCCCAUGCAGUGUUGUCCUGUGAAUGCCCCAUUUGUAGCUCUUCUGUGGCUUCAACAAGCUGUGCAGUGGGGUGAACUUAUGGGAUCAGAUCACAUAUUGGAUCCUGCAAACAUAAUGAUCUCAUGUGACUUUUUUUUUCCCUUUCCAGUUGUGGGACAUUCCUAAAUUUCUCAGGUUUGCUUGUUUCUGUUUUUUCAGCUUUGCUUGUAUCUGUUAGCUGUGGUGGGGAUUUUUUUUCUGUUUUUUCUGAUUUUCUGGUGUCCCUUUGUUCACACUGCUAUGGUAAAAGUUUUUCAGAUGCAUUUAUCUUUUUAAGAUCUUACCCAAUAUCUUGAGCAUUGUUGCUAAAUAGCAUAGUUCUUAAUAGCUAUAGUUCUCAUCCACCUGAAUAAACAUUAAAUUACAUUAGGUAGUAACUUAAAGGUUUAAAUGUCACUCUUGAGCAUAAUUUUAAUUUGGGUAUGCAAGAUAGUGGUUUGGUUUCCCCCUCUUUUCUUGGUUUUAUUUUUUUCCCCCAGUUUAUUUGUGUGCAUGUACAUAUGUCUGUGGUUAUUUUAUGACUUAUGCCCAGACAGAAAUGGUGUAAAAAGCCCUCUGAAUAUCUACAAUAAUUGAUGUGAUUUUUGUGGUUUUUAUUGCAUAAGAUAUUACUUGGAUUACUUCUCUC